GGGAUGUGCUCAGAGCAGGGGGCCUGAGGAAUGGCUCCUCUGUUUACAACACACCCAACAGGAAUCUGGGAUCAUUGUGACGAGAGGUACCAGACUUGUAGGCUUCCUAUGAACAAACUCUACAUGU
ensembl:snoRNA